rnacentral:lncRNA from 1 species
AUCUGCCCUGUGCUGUGGGGCAGAGGAAGCUGUGGGACUGGACAACUCCAACAUUCACAGUUGUGGCACCAGCUGCAGGUGAGAAAUGUGAGGAGGGACCCUGCCCCCUCAACCUCUGAGGGGCCCUGGCAGACUGGGGGCUGUCGCCACCUGAGGGUUCCCAGCCUUCCUACAAGGCAGUGUGCAUGGUGAUGACUGAAGUCUCGGGGUAAUCUCCCAGCAAGAGGUCAGGUCCUGGUUGUGCGUCCCAGGGUGUCAGUGAAAUUGGCUGCUCCCCUGACCCAGGGCACCUUCAUGCGUCUUCACAGCAGGACUACUGUGACCAAGGCCAGACCUUUCAUCUUUCAAAAGACUUUGACUAAAAAUGCUUUAAAAAAGCAACCUUCGGCUGGACGCGCUGGCUCACGCCUGUAAUCCCAGCACUUUGGGAGGCCG